GUUUUGCAUUAGGGGUGUCUGUUUCCCAGACUUAGAUACGGUUAGAUCCGUGGACCCUACGAACCUGUUAAGUUGACACUUGCGAAGGAAAAUGCACAUCUUGUUUA
rnacentral:ncRNA from 2 species